ACAGAGGAUGGGAUGGUUUGUUCGGGCGCUCCAUUUGGGGUCCAGUCUUGCACUGGGCCCUGGAUGGAGCAUUUCCGAGUGUACGAAAACCGAGGAAAUGUAUGAUAACUGAAACAAAAUUUUGUAGAAAAAGUCUACAAAAACCGAAAUAUAUGAAAUGAGAGGCGUACGAAAAUUGAGGUUUGACUGUACUCACUUUGCUAUAUUUAGUCGGCGUGUAGCUUUCUCGUUUUAUGGCUCUCAGUCAUUUUGCUGCAUUCUUCAUUCUUGGGUGAAGAAAACAUGUUGACUUUGGGUCCUGUAACAUAAUUCCCCUUGCAAUUUGGGACAACACAAUGAUACAGCAUUGUCACAAAAACACUCGCAAACUUAGAUUUUGUGUCAAUAGCCCAUUCAUUCCACAAAUAAUACAAAAAAUUUAGUAAUUCACUUGACAAAAAUCAGUGGUGUGACCUCUUCUGAAUUUCGAUGAAUACUAAAGCAGGUAGGUGACUGACCAUAGGUCAGUCAGACUACCUUUCUUUGGGAAAUCCCUGAUGAUGUUUAAUCCGCCAGGCCUCCUUCUCUCGGUGGCCAUGGUUGAACCCUGAGGCACUCCUGCCUUGGCAUCACCCAGGCACUACUGAAUUCAUUCUGACAGUUAUUGGCUUUAUAAGCUAACAGACGCUUACUUCCUGAUGUGCACAUUCCAUGUGUGACAGGUCUCAGUUCAGGACACCCAUAUACUGGAUCAAUGCUUUCGACUCCUACGAGGGAUGCCUUGAUUGGGAGUGACCAAGGACACAAUGCCCUUGCAUUCGUCAUCUGGAUCCAUCCACCUGUGACAAAAAUUUCAUCUUUUAUCAUCUUUUACGGCACCUGCAAAUCUUGAUAAUUUUAGGUUAUUUAUUAUUCACAUGUCCCUAGUACUAAUUGUAAACUGUUAUUAAUUGCUGAGUAAAUGUAAUUAAAUGUUAACAGAGUAUAAUUAGUAAUCAUCUUUCCACUUUCCCGUUUUUUUUUAUUUUGUUUUAUAUGUCAGCCAUUUUAUUGCUUGGCCAAGGUUAGCCAUUUUAUAGAAUUCUGUUGCUUGGCCAAGGCUGGCAUAUAACAAUGUCCUAUGUUUGAUGCCGUGAAGAGUAUUGCAAAAUUGUUCAUGUACGUAAACAUUUUUUUCAUCGACUAAUGUCAUUCAUUGUUAGUGUGAAGAGUGCGCUGCAGGGAACUUCGUUCUCAAGUGAGGAAGUCUUUGAAUAUCUAUUUAUACUUGAAAGGAUGGCUUAUUAGAAAAUUUCCAAUAAUAACUAAGUGCAUAUUUUUUUGCAAUGUUCUUAAUAUUAAGUAUCUGCAGGUGGUACCAUAAGCUUUUUGUAUAUUAAAGGAAAUAACUAUUGUCACCUGCUUGUGUUCAAAUCCUUCAUGGAAGUGAUCUUCCAAAUAGGCUAGUAAUAUUAUGGUGAAUGUAUUUGCUCUUGGAUCUAAACUGUGUAGGCAUAGUAUUUUCCUUUGUCAAAGGUUUACAAAAAACAUAAUACAAAAUCAAAUAUUUUAUUAUACACUAUACACAUCAUCACAUGGCAACAUUUACUCAUUUCACUGAUGGAAUGACUUAUGAAUAACUUUGUGAACUAUGACAUAUCGGCAAUAAAAUAAUACAUGGGGAGUGUUAAUCCAGAACUAUGUUACACUAAAAUACAAACCUUAAAAAAAGUUUAUAAAAGGAAUGGGCUCUUU